AAAGAGAUGACAGAAAACAUGUAUUUGGCUUGAAACCAAAAGAUGGAAGUUAAAAUCUUCCUCUCUUUU
rnacentral:tRNA from 1 species